UCGUAACAAGGUCUCCGUUGGUGAACCAGCGGAGGGAUCAUUACCGAGUUUACAACUCCCAAACCCCUGUGAACAUACCACUUGUUGCCUCGGCGGAUCAGCCCGCUCCCGGUAAAACGGGACGGCCCGCCAGAGGACCCCUAAACUCUGUUUCUAUAUGUAACUUCUGAGUAAAACCAUAAAUAAAUCAAAACUUUCAACAACGGAUCUCUUGGUUCUGGCAUCGAUGAAGAACGCAGCAAAAUGCGAUAAGUAAUGUGAAUUGCAGAAUUCAGUGAAUCAUCGAAUCUUUGAACGCACAUUGCGCCCGCCAGUAUUCUGGCGGGCAUGCCUGUUCGAGCGUCAUUUCAACCCUCAAGCACAGCUUGGUGUUGGGACUCGCGUUAAUUCGCGUUCCCCAAAUUGAUUGGCGGUCACGUCGAGCUUCCAUAGCGUAGUAGUAAAACCCUCGUUACUGGUAAUCGUCGCGGCCACGCCGUUAAACCCCAACUUCUGAAUGUUGACCUCGGAUCAGGUAGGAAUACCCGCUGAACUUAAGCAUAUCAAUAUCG
rnacentral:rRNA from 1 species